AGAGCGAACGCUGGCGGCAUGCUUAACACAUGCAAGUCGCACGGGCAGGGGCAACUCUGUCAGUGGCGGACGGGUGAGUAACGCGUAGGUAUCUAUCCUUGGGUGGGGGACAACUGUGGGAAACUACAGCUAAUACCGCAUGAUAACUGAGGUUUAAAGGCGCAAGUCGCCUGGGGAGGAGCCUGCGUACGAUUAGCUAGUUGGUGGGGUAAAGGCCUACCAAGGCGACGAUCGUUAGCUGGUCUGAGAGGAUGAUCAGCCACAUUGGGACUGAGACACGGCCCAAAACUCCUACGGGAGGCAGCAGUGGGGAAUAUUGGACAAUGGGCGCAAGCCUGAUCCAGCAAUGCCGCGUGUGUGAAGAAGGUCUUCGGAUUGUAAAGCACUUUCGACGGGGACGAUGAUGACGGUACCCGUAGAAGAAGCCCCGGACUAACGUUCGUGCCAGCAGCCGC
rnacentral:rRNA from 1 species